GACGAACCCGUCCAAACGUUAUUCGGAAUCACUGGGCUUACAGAGUUCGUAGGCGGUCUGGAAAGUUGGGUGUGAAAUCCCUCGGCUCAACCGAGGAACUGCGCUUGAAACUGCCAGACUCGAGGGAGAUAGAGGAAAGCGGAACUGAUGGUGGAGCGGUGAAAUGCGUUGAUAUCAUCAGGAACACCGGUGGCGAAGGCGGCUUUCUGGGUCUUACCUGACGCUGAGGAACGAAAGCCAGGGGAGCGAACGGGAUUAGAAACCCGUGUAGU
rnacentral:rRNA from 1 species